rnacentral:rRNA from 1 species
CCUACGGGUGGCAGCAGUGGGGAAUAUUGCGCAAUGGGCGCAAGCCUGAUGCAGCCAUGCCGCGUGUGUGAAGAAGGCCUUCGGGUUGUAAAGCACUUUCAGCGGGGAGGAAGGCGGUGAGGUUAAUAACCUCAUCGAUUGACGUUACCCGCAGAAGAAGCACCGGCUAACUCCGUGCCAGCAGCCGCGGUAAUACGGAGGGUGCAAGCGUUAAUCGGAAUUACUGGGCGUAAAGCGCACGCAGGCGGUCUGUCAAGUCGGAUGUGAAAUCCCCGGGCUCAACCUGGGAACUGCAUUCGAAACUGGCAGGCUAGAGUCUUGUAGAGGGGGGUAGAAUUCCAGGUGUAGCGGUGGAAUGCGUAGAGAUCUGGAGGAAUACCGGUGGCGAAGGCGGCCCCCUGGACAAAGACUGACGCUCAGGUGCGAAAGCGUGGGGAGCAAACAGGAUUAGAUACCCCGGUAGUC